ACUAAAGAAAGGACAUUGGAGCAUUCUUUAUACAGGAUGCCAUGAUUCCAGGAGACUAAGUUUCCAUGAACUUUUAGCCUCAGGACAGCACCCAGGUUUUUGGGGCCUGUCGCACUGGUCACUACUGGAGUGGAUGUAGCAGGGAGAGAAGGGUGCACUUUGAGUCACAGCCCAGAGCAAUUCUGAAGUUCACUUGGUACAAGUGGCAAUUCUCUGCUAUGUCUUGAGACCUGAGACUCCCUUUCCAUAAUGCUUGAUGCCUCUCUCCAGGUUGUUCUUCAUCUUCUUGGACAACUAGUUUCUGUUUACAGUCUGCAAGAGUUUGAGGGUCCCGAGUCCCUUUCGAAUUUUGUAUUCUCUUUCACAGUGUCUGUCCGCCUAACUCCUGAAAACUACUACCUCUGGAGACUCCUCCUUGUCCGCAUUCAUUCACUUACUCAUGAGGGGUUGGAGAACAGAACUGAGACCUUGAUCCUAAAACCCCUUCUGCUUCUUGGGUACUUUCUCUAGCUCCUGCAAGUGGAGCCUGGUUGGAGCAAACAGGUCACUGGGGGAGUACCUUUCAGGGGUGUCUUAUCCCUGGUUUCUCCUUGUGACUCUCUGUUGUCCAACUGCUGCUACAUAAGCGGCGUCCUCUUCUGUGAUUCUGCCACCAUAAUGCUUUGUUUUAACACUGGACAACUAACCAAUGGAAACUGCAUUUAUUGUAGCAGGACCAUAGGACGAAGGGUAUGAAAAAGCCACAGGUAACUAUCUGUCUAUAGCCUACAGUCUGAGCAGUGUUGUGCUCUCAGAAGAUUAAUCGCCACAGUUAGGAGGAGUUUAAACCCUCCUUUCACAAGGGUUCACACAUUUCCUCUCCUCUUCUUCCUGAAGCAUUGGCCUCAUGAGAGAUCAACCCCUGGUUACAUCAGCAGUUUGAAAGCCAGGCUGAAGUGGUGGCUGCUGUCAGACAGUUUUCAGAUCUGGGUGGUGUAUGAGAGGUUAAACGGCUGCCCUCCCACAGCUCUGGGCCAGGCGAACGUGGUGGAGCCCCAGCAUCCCAGGCUCGCCAGACCAGCAUCCUGUACCAAACUGUGCUCUGACCAGAGAGCAGGAAUGAAAGAAGCUAAAGCCAUCAUCAGACUCUGUGCAGCCAUGCAUUAUAUGGAAGAGCUGGAUGUAAGCUCUUAGCAUCUGCUCCAGCACCAUGCCUGCCCACCUGCCGCUGUGCUGUCACGAUGGUCGUGCACUCCAAGACCCUGGAAUGGUGAGCCUCAGUAAUCAUUUUCUUGGCCAUGGUGUCUCCUCACAAUAGAAAAGUAACUAAGCAAGAAAGCAAGAAGGGGUUUUAGAGAAAUGGCUGAGUAGGUCUUGGGGAAGACACAUAUGUAAUGAUCAUUAAAAUUAGGAAGCUUU
rnacentral:lncRNA from 1 species